CGAGGGAGACGAUUUUGCAAGUAACGGAGCAAAACUGUUAAUAACCUAUUUAACAAAAGUCGAGAGAACCAGUAUUUAUUCGCAGCGCUGUGAAAGAAAUGUUUUUGUGUUCUUUAACUUCUAUUUUACAACUGUGUGUGCUCUGGGAGGACCGCUUCAGGAUGUAGAGGCAGUUUGGCGCAUUACUUUUAUGCUAACGUUAACGGACAUUAGCUCCAAAGUAACGUAAUGUUGUGACUGAAGCCUUCGCCUGACAGUCGGCAGAGAAUGCGCUUUGGCCCAGACUAUAGAGGGUGCUGCUGAAGGGAUUUCAUCAUGUCCAUAAUCACCUGACUUGCGAAAGCAGCUCUUGUAUCGAUGAAGUAUUGAGUGACACUACAGCUAUCCAAGGUGUUUUCUGAGUUCCAUCGUCAUCAUGACUAAUGUUGAACCUAUGGAGCCAAUUCAACUGUGAGCUUGACAACACAGUUGAUUGUCCUGUCCAGGUGGAGUGCUAGGAUUUAUGACCUCCAGAAACAACAUGAUGUACACAUGAGAUGCAUUCUGCCCUCCCAGUGGACCUGCGAGAGGAUGACUGAUUUCUUCAAGACCCGCAAUUGCAAAGAUGAACCAGAUAUUGCUGACACGCCUGUGGCUCUCCUCACUGUGGUCACUGACGACGCCCCUGCUGAGGUCCACUUCAACCCUGAGAGCGUUUCUGUUGUAGAGGAAGAGGAAAUUGUGAGUGACUAUCCAAAGAAACUAAUUUACACAUUCACCUUUUUUCAGAAAAUAAUAAUGUCUUGAUGAUAGCAAACCACUGAAGCUGUGCCUAAAAGUACUUGUUGAAAGAAGUUUGAAUUUAAUCAUGUACAUAAACGGUUUGUUUCUGUGAAAUAUAGAAAUGGCAGGAGAUGUUACAAUAUUUGAUAAUGAUUGUUCAAUAAAGAAAAGUUACUUGUGAUAAUGGAGUUGUAGUUGUAUCUAUGAGAAUUACUGAGCAUCCGGGUUAACAUCAGGUUAAAAGAUGGUCCAAAGUGUGUCUUUGCAAUUGCUAAUUUGUUUUUU